rnacentral:rRNA from 1 species
GACGAACGCUGGCGGCGCGCCUAACACAUGCAAGUCGAACGAGAGAUGAGGAGCUUGCUCUUCAAAUCGAGUGGCGAACGGGUGAGUAACGCGUGAGGAACCUGCCUCAAAGAGGGGGACAACAGUUGGAAACGACUGCUAAUACCGCAUAAGCCCACGGCUCGGCAUCGAGCAGAGGGAAAAGGAGCAAUCCGCUUUGAGAUGGCCUCGCGUCCGAUCAGCUAGUUGGUGAGGUAACGGCCCACCAAGGCGACGAUCGGUAGCCGGACUGAGAGGUUGAACGGCCACAUUGGGACUGAGACACGGCCCAGACUCCUACGGGAGGCAGCAGUGGGGAAUAUUGCACAAUGGGGGAAACCCUGAUGCAGCGACGCCGCGUGGAGGAAGAAGGUCUUCGGAUUGUAAACUCCUGUUGUUGAGGAAGAUAAUGACGGUACUCAACAAGGAAGUGACGGCUAACUACGUGCCAGCAGCCGCGGUAAAACGUAGGUCACAAGCGUUGUCCGGAAUUACUGGGUGUAAAGGGAGCGCAGGCGGGAGAACAAGUUGGAAGUGAAAUCCAUGGGCUCAACCCAUGAACUGCUUUCAAAACUGUUUUUCUUGAGUAGUGCAGAGGUAGGCGGAAUUCCCGGUGUAGCGGUGGAAUGCGUAGAUAUCGGGAGGAACACCAGUGGCGAAGGCGGCCUACUGGGCACCAACUGACGCUGAGGCUCGAAAGUGUGGGUAGCAAACAGGAUUAGAUACCCUGGUAGUCCACACCGUAAACGAUGAUUACUAGGUGUUGGAGGAUUGACCCCUUCAGUGCCGCAGUUAACACAAUAAGUAAUCCACCUGGGGAGUACGACCGCAAGGUUGAAACUCAAAGGAAUUGACGGGGGCCCGCACAAGCAGUGGAGUAUGUGGUUUAAUUCGACGCAACGCGAAGAACCUUACCAAGUCUUGACAUCCUGCGACGCACAUAGAAAUAUGUGUUUCCUUCGGGACGCAGAGACAGGUGGUGCAUGGUUGUCGUCAGCUCGUGUCGUGAGAUGUUGGGUUAAGUCCCGCAACGAGCGCAACCCUUAUGGUCAGUUACUACGCAAGAGGACUCUGGCCAGACUGCCGUUGACAAAACGGAGGAAGGUGGGGAUGACGUCAAAUCAUCAUGCCCUUUAUGACUUGGGCUACACACGUACUACAAUGGCGUUAAACAAAGAGGAGCAAGACCGCGAGGUGGAGCAAAACUCAGAAACAACGUCCCAGUUCGGACUGCAGGCUGCAACUCGCCUGCACGAAGUCGGAAUUGCUAGUAAUCGUGGAUCAGCAUGCCACGGUGAAUACGUUCCCGGGCCUU